rnacentral:rRNA from 1 species
GACGAACGCUGGCGGCGUGCUUAACACAUGCAAGUCGAACGGUAACAGGCCCUUCGGGUGCUGACGAGUGGCGGACGGGUGAGUAAUGCUUAGGAAUCUGCCUAGUAGUGGGGGAUAACCCGGGGAAACUCGGGCUAAUACCGCAUACGCCCUACGGGGGAAAGGCGGGGACGUCUCGGGCCUCGCGCUAUUAGAUGAGCCUAAGUCCGAUUA